rnacentral:rRNA from 1 species
CGUAGGGUGCAAGCGUUGUCCGGAAUUACUGGGCGUAAAGAGCUCGUAGGCGGUUUGUCGCGUCGUCUGUGAAAUCCUACAGCUUAACUGUGGGCGUGCAGGCGAUACGGGCAGACUUGAGUACUACAGGGGAGACUGGAAUUCCUGGUGUAGCGGUGAAAUGCGCAGAUAUCAGGAGGAACACCGGUGGCGAAGGCGGGUCUCUGGGUAGUAACUGACGCUGAGGAGCGAAAGCAUGGGUAGCGAACAGGAUU